UCUAAAUCUAAGUUAACACAAUAGGUUAGUUGACAAUAGGGCCGAAGGUAGCAGGUGGGCCCCAAGCACAGACACACUCCCCACACGAUUUGAAAUGUAAAAUAACACCUUGUGCUGGGGAGAAAUAGAACUGCGGGGAAAAUAGUUAGCAAUGAUGCUGUCCUUUAGCCUGGAGGAAAAUAAUAGCCACAGAGUGGCCCUCCAACUGGUCCUGGGGAAAGAUUGUAAUUAGCAACAUGCCUGCCCUUGCAGCUGAGCUGGAGAAAAAUAAUAGGUUAUGUAGCAGAACUUCAGAAUUGGAACAGAUUCAGCUUGUGCUACCCGAAGGUUGAGAGAUCUGACCGAGUUCUUCUUUGGAUUUGCCUCCUUGUCAAGACCGUCUCCUUCUUCGCUCGGUGCCCGAUUUAUCCUGUCUGGAGGACGAUGCGCAGCUGAUCCUCCUGCUUGCUGGGGUCCUGUCAAAUCACCUGAGAUCUGCGCAUUGCCAUCCUGCGCAGGGGGAAAAGCUUAAAAAAAAAAAAAGAAAACAUCUUUGAUCAAUGUGUUCUCCUUGCACCUAAGAAAUGGAUGGAAAACUGUGGACAACUCAAAGAUUCAUGGGAUGGCUUAUAACACGAAGAGAAAAAGCAGUUAAUAGGAUGAAGAGAAUUCCCUUCAACGGAGCAGGUGGAAUUAACAGCACUUACAGUACAUUAAUGCGAUUAUAUGAAAAACUAAUGGGGUCUGCUUUCAUCUGGAUGACUGGGAAGGGUAAAGAGAGGAAGAUCUGAAGGAAAGUUGCCAAAAAUGUUUUCG